rnacentral:rRNA from 1 species
GACGAACGCUGGCGGCGUGCUUAACACAUGCAAGUCGAACGAAGUGGCGAACGGGUGAGUAAAGCGGAAUCAACCUGCCUUUCAGAGGGGGACAACAGGAGGAAACGACUGCUAAUACCGAAUACUGACGGUGGUGAUUGCGUCGGAUUGGCUAGUUGGAGGGGUAACGGCCCACCAAGGCGAUGAUCAGUAGCCGGGCUGGUGGGAUGAACGGCCACAUUGGGACUGAGGCACGGCCCAGACGCCUACGGGAGGCAGCAGUGGGGAAUCGUCCGCAAUGGACGGAAGUCUGACGGAGCAACGCCGCGUGAGUGAUGACGGCCUUCGGGUUGUAAAGCUCUUUUAAUCGGGACGCGGUACCGGAAUAGAAAGCCACGGCUAACUACGUGCCAGCAGCCGCGGUAAUAC